rnacentral:rRNA from 1 species
GAUUUUAAUGAUCGAACAGAUCAAAAUUUUAAACUUUUGCACUUAAAUUUUAUCUUAAUCCAACAUCGAGGUCGCAAACUUUUUUUUUUAUUUGAACUAAAAAAAAAUAUUACGCUGUUAUCCCUAAGGUAAUUUUUUCUUAUAAUCAUUAUUAAUGGAUCAUUUAAUCAUUUAUUUAUGUUUAAUUUUUAAAAAAAGUUAAUUUAAUUUUUCUAUCACCCCAAUAUAAUAAUUAAUUUUAUUUUAAUAAAAAUUUUUAUAUAACUUUAAAAUAAAAAUAAAUAUAAAACUCUAUAGGGUCUUCUCGUCUUUUAAAAUUAUUUUAGCUUUUUAACUAAAAAAUAAAUUUCUAAAAAUAAAUAAGAGACAGUUUAUAUUUCAUCAAAUCUUUCAUACAAGUUUUCAAUUAAAAAACUAUUGAUUAUGCUACCUUUGUACAGUCAUUAUACUGCAGCCCUUUAAUAUUUAUCAGUGGGCAGAUUAGACUUUAAAUUAUACUCAAA